rnacentral:rRNA from 1 species
UGAGCAAUCUGCCCUUCACAUCGGAAUAACCAUUGGAAACGAUGGCUAAUACCGAAUAUGACUUCGGAUCGCACGAUCUGAAGUGGAAAGCUCCGGCGGAGAAGGAUGAGCUCGCGGCCUAUCAGCUUGUUGGUGGGGUGAUGGCCUACCAAGGCGACGACGGGUAGCCGGCCUGAGAGGGUGACCGGCCACACUGGGACUGAGACACGGCCCAGACUCUACGGGA